rfam:Tupaia chinensis contig15382, whole genome shotgun sequence.
UUCUGGGUAUGGCAUGAGUACAGAGAAGCUGGCACCUCCGA